UAGCGGUGGAAUGCGUAGAUAUAUGGAAGAACACCAGUGGCGAAGGCGGCUUACUGGACUGUAACUGACGUUGAGGCUCGAAAGUGUGGGUAGCAAACAGGAUUAGAUACCCUGGUAGUCCACACCGUAAACGAUGAACACUAGGUGUUAGGAGGUUUCCGCCUCUUAGUGCCGAAGCUAACGCAUUAAGUGUUCCGCCUGGGGAGUACGACCGCAAGGUUGAAACUCAAAGGAAUUGACGGGGACCCGCACAAGCGGUGGAGCAUGUGGUUCAAUUCGAAGCAACGCGAAGAACCUUACCAGGUCUUGACAUCCUUUGAAGCUUUUAGAGAUAGAAGUGUUCUCUUCGGAGACAAAGUGACAGGUGGUGCAUGGUCGUCGUCAGCUCGUGUCGUGAGAUGUUGGGUUAAGUCCCGCAACGAGCGCAACCCUUAUUGUUAGUUGCCAGCAUUCAGAUGGGCACUCUAGCGAGACUGCCGGUGACAAACCGGAGGAAGGCGGGGACGACGUCAGAUCAUCAUGCCCCUUAUGACCUGGGCUACACACGUGCUACAAUGGCGUAUACAACGAGUUGCCAACCCGCGAGGGUGAGCUAAUCUCUUAAAGUACGUCUCAGUUCGGAUUGUAGUCUGCAACUCGACUACAUGAAGUCGGAAUCGCUAGUAAUCGCGGAUCAGCACGCCGCGGUGAAUACGUUCCCGGGUCUUUACACACCGCCCGUCACACCAUGGGAGUUUGUAAUGCCCAAAGCCGGUGGCCUAACCUUUUAGGAAGGAGCCGUCUAAGGCAGGACAGAUGACUGGGGUGAAGUCGUAACAAGGUAGCCGUAGGAGAACCUGCGGCUGGAUC
rnacentral:rRNA from 1 species